rnacentral:rRNA from 1 species
GGAAUCUUGGACAAUGGGGGCAACCCUGAUCCAGCCAUGCCGCGUGAGCGAUGAAGGCCCUAGGGUUGUAAAGCUCUUUCACCCGUGAAGAUAAUGACGGUAGCGGGAGAAGAAGCCCCGGCUAACUCCGUGCCAGCAGCCGCGGUAAUACGGAGGGGGCUAGCGUUGUUCGGAAUUACUGGGCGUAAAGCGCGCGUAGGCGGGCGCUCAAGUCGGGGGUGAAAUCCCGGGGCUCAACCCCGGAACUGCCUCCAAAACUAUCGGUCUUGAGUUCGAGAGAGGUGAGUGGAAUUCCGAGUGUAGAGGUGAAAUUCGUAGAUAUUCGGAGGAACAUCAGUGGCGAAGGCGGCUCACUGGCUCGAUACUGACGCUGAGGUGCGAAAGUGUGGGGAGCAAAC